AGGACGAACGCUGGCGGCGUGCCUAACACAUGCAAGUCGAACGGAGAUUAUUAUGUGGAAGUUUCGGAUGAAAGCAAGUAAUCUUAGUGGCGGACGGGUGAGUAACGCGUGGGUGACCUACCCAUAAGUGGGGAAUAACAGUUGGAAACGACUGCUAAUACCGCAUAAGCUGCGAAAGCAGUAAAGGAGGCCUCUUUUUUAAAGCUUCCGCUUAUGGAUGGGCCCGCGUCUGAUUAGCUAGUUGGCAGGGUAACGGCCUACCAAGGCGACGAUCAGUAGCCGGCCUGAGAGGGUGAACGGCCACACUGGGACUGAGACACGGCCCAGACUCCUACGGGAGGCAGCAGUGGGGAAUAUUGCGCAAUGGGGGAAACCCUGACGCAGCGACGCCGCGUGAAGCGAAGAAGGCCUUAGGGUCGUAAAGCUCUGUUUUAAGGGACGAAUGUUCAUGGAAGUAAUAUGUCCGUGAAAUGACGGUACCUUAAGAGGAAGCCCCGGCUAACUACGUGCCAGCAGCCGC
rnacentral:rRNA from 1 species